rnacentral:rRNA from 1 species
GACGAACGCUGGCGGCGUGCUUAACACAUGCAAGUCGAACGGAAAGGCCUUGCUUUUGUGUGGUGUUCGAGUGGCGAACGGGUGAGUAACUCGUGCGUAAUCUGCCUUUGACUUUGGGAUAACUUCAGGUUACUGGGGCUAAUUACUGAUACGUGCUCCUUCUCCUUGGUGUGGGUUGGAAAGUUUCGGCGGCUGGGGAUGGUCUAGCGGCUUAUCAGCUUGUUGGUGAGGUAGUGGCGUACCAAGGCUUUGACGGGUAGCCGGACUGCGAGGGUGACAGGCCACAUUGGGACUGAGAAACGAGCAAGACUCAUACGGGAGGAAGCGGUGGAGAAUAGUGGAAGAUGGGCGGAAGCAGGGUGCAGCAACGCCGGGUGCGAGAGGACGGCCUUCGGGGUGGAAACCGCUUUCGGCGGAGACGAAGAAUGAGUGACGGUAAUGGGUAAAGAAGCACCGGCUAACUACGUG